AAUUGGUGGAUAGUAUGAAUGGUUGAACGAAUAUCCCACUGUCUUAAAGAAAACUAAAAGAAAUUGAAAUAAUAGUUAAGAUGCUAUUUUAAACUGUAAGACGAAAAGACCCUAUAGAGCUUAACUAUAAUCUCUAUUAUUUAAACAAAUAAUUAAUUUGUAUACCAUAGAGAUUGGUAGUUUAGUUGGGGCGACUAUCUUUUAAAUUAAACAAAGAUAAGCAAUGUUAAUAAAAGAUUUAUUGUAUAAUUAAUUUAUUUAACAAUUAUAAAAAUAGGCUAUAAUGACCCGUUAAUAUUUUAUAAACAAAUUAACGAUCAAUUGAUAAAAGCUACCUUAGGGAUAACAGGAUAAUUUCAUUUUAGAGCUCCUAUCGAAAAUGAAGUUUGUCACCUCUAUGUUGAAUUAAGAUAUCCUGGUAAUGCAGAAGUUACCAA
rnacentral:rRNA from 1 species